UACAGAGGUCUCAAGCGUUGUUCGGAUUCAUUGGGCGUAAAGGGUGCGUAGGCGGCGCGGUAAGUCGGGUGUGAAAUCUCGGAGCUUAACUCCGAAACUGCAUUCGAUACUGCCGUGCUUGAGGACUGGAGAGGAGACUGGAAUUUACGGUGUAGCGGUGAAAUGCGUAGAUAUCGUAAGGAAGACCAGUGGCGAAGGCGGGUCUCUGGACAGUUCCUGACGCUGAGGCACGAAAGGUCAGGGGAGCAAAACGGGG
rnacentral:rRNA from 1 species